UAUAAAUAAUUGUGAUGUGGAGC
rnacentral:piRNA from 1 species